UGCCAGCAGCCGCGGUAAUACGGAGCCGUGCAAGCGUUUUCCGGAUUUAUUGGGUUUAAAGGGUCCGUAGGCGGAUGCGUAAGUCAGUGGUGAAGUCUCACAGCUCAACUGUGAAACUGCCAUUGAUACUGCGUGUCUUGAGUGAGGUUGAAGUAGCUGGAAUAAGUAGUGUAGCGGUGAAAUGCAUAGAUACUACUUAGAACACCAAUUGCGAAGGCAGGUUACUAAGUCUCAACUGACGCUGAUGGACGAAAGCGUGGGGAGCGAACAGGAUUAGAUACCCUGGUAGUCCACGUUGUAAACGAUGCUAACUCGUUUUUGGGGAUUUAUCUUCAGAGACUAAGCGAAAGUGAUAAGUUAGCCACCUGGGGAGUACGAACGCAAGUUUGAGACUCAAAGGAAUUGACGGGGGCCCGCACAAGCGGUGGAUUAUGUGGUUUAAUUCGAUGAUACGCGAGGAACCUUACCAAGGCUUAAAUGGGGAAUUGAUCGGGUUAAAAAAUAGACCUUUCCUUCGGGCAAUUUUCAAGGUGCUGCAUGGGUUUGUCGUCAG
rnacentral:rRNA from 1 species